ACGCUCGACACCUAUGGGAGGCAGCAGUGGGGAAUAUUGCACAAUGGGGGAAACCCUGAUGCAGCGACGCCGCGUGGAGGAAGAAGGUCUUCGGAUUGUAAACUCCUGUUGUUGGGGAAAAAGAGGAUGGUACCCAACAAGGAAGUGACGGCUAACUACGUGUCAGCAGCCGCGGUAAUCUGAGCGGGCUGGCAAGGC
rnacentral:rRNA from 1 species